rnacentral:rRNA from 1 species
GAUGAACGCUGGCGGCGUGCCUAAUACAUGCAAGUCGAGCGAACAGACGAGGAGCUUGCUCCUCUGACGUUAGCGGCGGACGGGUGAGUAACACGUGGAUAACCUACCUAUAAGACUGAGAUAACUGCGGGAAACCGGAGCUAAUACCGGAUAAUAUAUUUAACCUCAUGGUUCAAUAGUGAAAUACGGUUUUUCUGUCACUUAUAGAUGGAUCCGCGCCGCAUUAGCUAGUUGGUAAGGUAACGGCUUACCAAGGCAACGAUGCGUAGCCGACCUGAGAGGGUGAUCGGCCACACUGGAACUGAGACACGGUCCAGACUCCUACGGGAGGCAGCAGUAGGGAAUCUUCCGCAAUGGGCGAAAGCCUGACGGAGCAACGCCGCGUGAGUGAUGAAGGUCUUCGGAUCGUAAAACUCUGUUAUUAGGGAAGAACAAAUGUGUAAGUAACUAUGCACGUCUUGACGGUACCUAAUCAGAAAGCCACGGCUAACUACGUG